CUUGGAAGUCCUGAGGGAAAGUUAAAGACAACUGGAAAUUCAGGAUGACUUUAUGGAGGAUAAACUCCAGUGGAGUCUAUUGUCUUGCUAAGUUUUGAAGGAAAAGUAGGCAUUAACUUGAGGAAGGAGAAACUGUGUGGAGGAUGGUAAACUUGUAUUUGCAAACACCAUGCCAAUUUAAUAGCCUUUGUGCUUAUAGGGAGAAUUUCUAGAGGAUAUCACUUCAGGUUUGUCUCCUGGACACAUUAAUUUAAUGCUAUCAAAUCUGAUGGUUUAGCUCACAGUACCAAAUAGCACUGAGAUAAAAUUUAAUAAUUUUAAAAAUUAUUAAAAAUUAAUUUAUAAAAGAUUAAUUUAUAAAAUGUGAUGGGAUCUAGAAUAGUUUCAAAAACUAAAACCACUGUUGUUUGUGUUUAAGUGUUUAGCUGGUAAAACACAGAGUUUAAUAUGGUCAUUUGUGAUAAAUUUGGAUAUAAAAUUGAAGACAGAUGGUAAGAAUUAUUUUUUAAAUAGUCCUUGAAAAACAUUUUUAACUUUUAGAUCAUAUUAACAAAAACUAAGAAGUGUGAGCAAUGUAUGUGUGUUUAGAGGAAGAUGGUUCACAAAAGCAUGCUAAACCAUUCUUGAAUGAGUAUAUCAAAGAAAAAAGUCAAAAUUAUAGUCACAGUAUAUUUAUAAUGUGAUCACAAUGAAAAUUGUUGACCAAAACUUGUAGAAUAUAGCCAAAGUUCUAAUUAGAAACAAAUUGAUAGCCUAACAUCAUUUAGUUGUUAAGAAUAGAUAAUUAUUCAUGUCAAAUAGUUAGAAAAAUGAAAUUAACCCAAGGAAGGCAGAGGAAUAAAAUAGCAAAGAAAAUAGUAAAGAUAGCAACAGAAAUAAAUGAAUUUGAAACAGAAAAAAAAAAUCAGUAGGAGUAAUAUGUAAAUCCUCUAACAUAGAAAAUUAAGAGAAAUUUUAACAAGAAAAUAAAGAAAAAACACAUCAUAUUUAAAACAAAUGAAUAACAAAGUGUUAAUGUACAUAAUGUUAAUGAAAAUGUUAUAUGAAACUUCCUGCUACUUUGUAAAACAUAAUAAAAAGAUAAAUCUCUAGGGAAUUUACAAAUUACCAAAGUUGAUUCAAGAAGAAAUGGAUACAGCCAUUGUGGAAAGUAGUCUGGAGAGUUCUCAAAGAACUUAAAAUAGAAUUACCAUUUGACCUGGUAAUCCCAUUACUGGAUAUAUACCCAAAGGAAUAUAGAUUAUUCUACCAUAAAGACACAUGCACACGUAUGUUCAUUGCAGCAAUUUGGAUAAUAGCAAAGACAAAAUCAACCUAGAUACUCAUUAACAGUGGAGUGGAUAAAGAAAAUGUGGUCCAUAUACACCAUGGACUACCACACAGCUAUAGAAAAUGAGGUCACACAGUGAAACCCCGUCUCUACUAAAAGUACAAAAAAUUAGCUGGGCGUGGUGGCAGGUGCCUGUAGUCCCAGCUACUUGCGAGGCUGAGGCAGGAGAAUGGCGUGAACCCGGGAGGCGGAGCUUGCAGUGAGCCGAGAUCAUGCCACUGCACUCCAGCCUGGGCAACAGAGCAAGACUCCGACUCAAAAAAAAAAAAAAAAAAAAAAAAAAAUGAGAUCCUGACUCAAAAAAAAAAAAAGAGAUCCUGGCCUUUGCAGCAACAUGGAUGGAGUUGGAGGCCAUUAUCUUAAGAUAAUUAAUUAAUGAAUGCAGGAACAGAAAACAAACACUGCAUGUUCUCACUUGUAAGUAGAAGCUAAACAUUGAGAACACAUGGACACAAAGAAGGAAAUAAUAAACACUGGGGCAUAUUUGAGGGUGAAGGGUAGGGAGAGUGUAAGGCUUGAAAAACUGCCUAUUGGGGCUAUGCUGAUUACUUGGGUGAUGAAAUAAUCUGUACACCAAACUUACAUGACACAGAAUUUACCUGUGUAACAAACCUGAACAUGUACCCCUUGAACCUAAAAUAAAAGUUGAAAAGGAAAAAAAAAAAAAAAGAAUUGGAAAUUUUGAGCCAAAGAAAUAAUAUGACCAACAUUUUCAAAGAAUCAUUAUAGAAUUAUUUUAUCGGAUAAAAAAUUAGACAGUUUCACUGAUGAGUUUUUUAAACAUUGAAAGUAAUGUAAAAUGUAAACAUUUCCAUAAUAGAGAAAAAUAUUCAACAUGUCUGAACUCAUUUACUAAGAUAAUAUAAGACUGAUAAGAAAACCUUUUCUAUAAUGCACACAACAAUACUGUGGAAUAGCCUUAUUUAAGAAUGUGGAUACAAAAAGUUAAAAUAAGACACUCAUAAAGGCAUGGUAAAAAGAAAAACAAAAGCAAACCCCUUUUGACAUAGAAGAAUAUAUUCUUGAAUAAAAUAAUUCACAUUUAUUAAAGUACUGUGUCUCUCAGUAAGUCAAAAUGAAGAAAGGCCACAUGAUUAUGUCAAUAGUUGUGAUAGAAUUUAGUAUCUAGUAUUGAAAAAGUAAAUUACAGUGAAGUAGGACAAGCAAUAUUCUUUCUUAAUAUGAACAAAAGUUUAUAUCUUAAAUGAAUUAUAAUUAUCAAGCUCAUUAAUAAAACUGGUGGAGGUGGGAGAAAAGAUGCUUACAUAUGAAACGGAAUCAAGAAGUUAAAUUAUUUGCAAGGGAUAAACUAAAUAUUCACAAUUUUCAGAAUGCUUGAUACUUUAUUUUCAGAAUCUCUAGUAGACAAUAAUAGUGAACUGAAAAAAAUAUCAGAAUGAAUUAGUGUUAAAUCAAGUGGUGGAUUACAAAGUACAUAUAUGAUAUUCAAUUACUUUUCUACUGUAAAUAUUUAGAAAAUAUAAUGGAUAAAACUAAGAUAGAUAAAAAUGUAAUAGAUUUAUAAGAACAUAAGAAUAUAAUAAACAUAAGAAUAUAAUGAAAAUAGGCCAGGCGUGGUGGCUCAUGCCUGUAAUCCGAGCACUUUGGGAGGCCAAGGUGGGCAGAUCACCUGAGGUCGAGAGUUUGAGACCAGCCUGACCAACAUGGAGAAACUCCGCCUCUACUAAAAAUACAAAACUUAGCUGGGCAUGGUGGCCCGCACCUGUAAUCCCAGCUACUUGGGAGGCUGAGGCAGGAGAAUCGCUUCAACCUGGGAGUCGGGGGUGGCAGUGAGCCGAGAUCGUACCAUUGCACUCCAGCCUGGGCAACAGGAGCGAAACUCUGUCUCAAUAAAUAAACAAACAAACAAACAAACAAAUAAAUAUUUAAAAAACAUGAAAAGCCUAUGUUCAAACAGAAAAACCAAUCAAUAAAAUAUAAAAAAAUUAAACAUAUGAAAAUCUAAACAUAAACUGGGAAAACAUGUAAAUAGGGUGUUCUCCAAAGAGGAAAUCAAAUGCUUAUUCCAUUUUAUUAGAAUUAAAAGAAAAUCAAAUAAUGAAAUACUAUUUACACCUGUGAAAGUGUUCAAAAUACUCACACUUCAUUUUGAAAAGAAUUUUAGAAAAUUACUUUCAUGCAUUAUUUGUUACAAUGGAAAGGUACUGACUUUCUAGAAAGAGAUUUGUCAAUAGUUAUCAAGAACAAUAGAGAAGUUUCUGCCACUUGGCCUGAUAAUUCCACUUGUAAGAACAUGUCCUCAGAAAAUUAUAAGAAUCACUUAAGAAUAUUUUGGAUAAACUAUUCAUCAUUAAUUUAUUUAUAAUAGCAAAAUAUUAGAAGCAAACAAAAUGUCCUACAAUAAGCAGGUGGGAUGAAAAAAUUGUGAUAUUUCCACAUAAGAACAGGACAAAUAGUGUUUGCAUAGAGUAAUGACAUGGGAGAAUGUUCAUUAUAUAAUCUAUUUGCAGUGAGACAAAGAGAAAAGCUAGGAGGAAACACACUGAAAUAUUAACAGUUGUAAAUCUCUGUCAUGAGAUUACAAAAUAUUUUGAAAUUAUCUUUACACUUUUCUUCAUUUUCUAAAGUUGCAAGAACCUCAGUUGGGCAAAAAGCAUGAAUGAAAAGAACAAUAUUCGUGAUUGUUUUAUUUUUCCCAGGAUCAAACAUGACUGUCAUAGCCUCCAUGUUAUGGCUAGCUUAUUUGUGUGGCCUUUCAUUCUGCUUUUCAAUUCUUAUUUUAUAAUUUUUAGCUGAUACCCUCUCCACCCCCAACAGGAUUUGUUUCAAUACUUUCUGAAAUAUGCAGAGAUGAAACAGAGACAAAUGGGAAGAAAUGUCACAAAGGUUAUCCACACUCGGUUCUCUUUGAUUUGAGCCCAGACCAUGUCCAGAAUGCAGACUUGGCCCCUUUCCCUCUGAGGUUAGACUUGUUCUGAUGUGUCUGAUUAAACUGCUCAACAGAGAGUGCCUGGGAGCCAGUGACUGGCCAACCUCCUGGGAGCUACAGCCAUUCUCAUCCAUAUAAGAGUGCCAGGAGAAAAGAACUGACAUUUGAGAGUCAGAGUAGGUGUGGCAAAUCCUACUACAUCUUCAUUCUCCACUUCCAUGACCAGACCGUGCUUGAAAUCUGAAUAUGCUUAAUGUCUAAUGGGCUAAGUAGGAGAGCCUUUUAUUCCCUGAAACUCCUUUGGCUACAGAGCCAUCUUUAGGGAGGUCAUUUCUCCAUAAAGUUUUCUUUAAAUCUUUUUAAUUUUAAUAUAUUAAAAUUGAAUUUUAGUAAUAAAAAUUUCAAGAAGAGAUCCACAAAACAACCUUAAACUUCCCUUAAAAUUUUCUCACGAGAAUUUUUUUUAAAAAGGAUCCAUUUAUGAAAUACUUAACAUAAUGUUACACUGAUAAAUCUGAAGAAGUGUUAGUCAUUACAGAAUCAUUCUCUCAACUCGGAA
rnacentral:lncRNA from 10 species